UACGUAGGGUGCAAGCGUUGUCCGGAAUUAUCGGGCGUAAAGAGCUCGUAGGCGGUCUGUCGCGUCGGCUGUGAAAACUCGGGGCUCAACUCCGAGCUUGCAGUCGAUACGGGCAGGCUAGAGUUCGGCAGGGGAGACUGGAAUUCCUGGUGUAGCGGUGAAAUGCGCAGAUAUCAGGAGGAACACCGGUGGCGAAGGCGGGUCUCUGGGCCGAUACUGACGCUGAGGAGCGAAAGCGUGGGGAGCGAACAGG
rnacentral:rRNA from 1 species